rnacentral:tRNA from 1 species
UUAAGGCUUUAUCUUAAUGAAAGUCCCUGAGUUGCAUUUAGGAGAUGUGGGUUAGUGUCCUGAAAGCCUUGUA